GGGGGGGGGAGGCAUCAGCUGGGUUCGUUGGCCGACCAUGCCUUGGUCCUUGGGUGGUGAUGUCUAGAAUCCAGCAACCCCAUCCCUCUAGAGUUUCAGGCAAGGGAAAGAUUGAUUCCAAUGCCAACUCGGACUCUUCCAACCUAAGCUCCUUCCUAUCUCGUCCUAGCUCACCUGGCUUGUGAGAGAGCUCACCUGGCUCACCAUUGGAUUCUAACAGAUCGCAAAAGCCAACCAAAGUCGCUCGCAGUGAUCCCUGGA
rnacentral:lncRNA from 1 species